rnacentral:piRNA from 1 species
UGAUUUGGAACAUUUAUCAGGGAGAGC